AAGGUUUUAAGUUAAAUAAACUAGUAGCCUUCAAAGUUUCCAAUAGGGAAAAGUCCCUAAACCUUA
rnacentral:tRNA from 1 species